ncrna:unclassified sequences DTF805b RNA
GGGGACGAAGCCGAAAAUCCCUUAUCAGAGUAGGCA